rnacentral:lncRNA from 1 species
GUCCUUAUUAUCUACAAAAUUUCAUGAAAUUCUGUUGUGUGUUUUCAGAGGAGUUGAGAUGACAAACUGUUGCAGAAGUACAUUGAAGCAAAUAAGUUCAAAGGGGCUUAACUCCUAGAAAAAAAAUUGAACCUUAAUUUCCUGUUGAUAUGCACAUCUACAUAGUAUGUCCUUAUUAUCUACAAAGUUUCGUGAAAUUCUGUUGUGUGGUUUGAGAGGAGUUGCGAUGACAAACUGUUGCAGUAGUACAUUAAAGUAAAUAAGUUCAAAGGGGCGUAACUCCUAGAAAAAAAUUGAAUCGCAAUUUCCCGUCGAUAUGCACAACUACAUAGUAUGUCCUUAUUAUCUGAAAAGGUUUCGUGAAAUUCUGUUGUGUGGUUUGAGAGGAGUUGCGAUGACAAAACUGUUGCAGUAGUACAUUAAAGUAAAUAAGUUCAAAGGGGCGUAACUCCUAGAAAAAAAAUUGAAUCGCAAUUUCCCAUCAAUAUGCACAACUACAUGUACAUAGUAUAUCCUUAUUAUCUGAAAAGGUUUCGUGAAAUUCUGUUGUGUGGUUUGAGAGGAGUUGCGAUGACAAACUGUUGCAGUAGUACAUUAAAGUAAAUAAGUUCAAAGGGGCGUAACUCCUAGAAAAAAAAAUUGAAUCGCAAUUUUCCCGUCGAUAUGCACAACUACAUAGUAUGUCCUUAUUAUCUGAAAAGGUUUCAUGAAAUUCUGUUGUGUGGUUUGAGAGGAGUUGCGAUGACAAACUGUUGCAGUAGUACAUUAAAGUAAAUAAGUUCAAAGGGGCGUAACUCCUAGAAAAAAAAAUUGAAUCGCAAUUUCCCGUCGAUAUGCACAACUACAUAGUAUGUCCUUAUUAUCUGAAAAAGUUUCGUGAAAUUCUGUUGUGUGGUUUGAGAGGAGUUGCGAUGACAAGAAACAGGACUGACGGACAGACGGACUGACGGACGGACUGACGGACUGAC